UGUACACGCUGUGACUAGCAUAUCAAUAAGCGGAGGAAAAGAAACUAACAAGGAUUCCCCUAGUAACGGCGAGUGAAGCGGGAAGAGCUCAAAUUUGAAAUCUUAAAGGGUUUCCCUUUACGAAUUGUAGUUUAAAGAAGUGUUUUCUGUUGAGGUUUUGGUAAAAGUUCUUUGGAAUAGGACAUCAUAGAGGGUGAGAAUCCCGUAUUUGACCUUUACUUUCAACUUUGUGAUACACUUUCAAAGAGUCGGAUUGUUUGGGAAUGCAGUCCAAAAUGGGUGGUAAAUUUCAUCUAAAGCUAAAUAUUGGCGAGAGACCGAUAGCGAACAAGUACCGUGAGGGAAAGAUGAAAAGAACUUUGAAAAGAGAGUUAAACAGUACGUGAAAUUGUCAAAAGGGAAGCGUUCGACACCAGUGUUGUUUUUCUGAAAAUCAAUUAAAGAACUGUUUAUGCUAAGUUGUUUAGACUUUAUCAGCUAACUGUUUAGUUUUGAGCUUUUCUUUAAUGCACUUUUCAGUUAACAAGUCAACAUCAAUUUCUUUUGCUGUAAAAAAGCUUGAGGAAGGUGGCUUGAGAUUCGUCUUAAGUGUUUAUAGCCUCUUGCCUAUGCAGUCGGAGAGAUUGAGGUCUGCAGCGUAGAUCCUUCGGGGCUAAAUGCAUUUGUGCUAAGUUAUAGCAUUUUAUAGACAACUUGUUGACUAUGAUUUGUCUUGUAGCUUACUCGCUUAUGUUAUUUUACCUACGCUUAGGAUGUUGAGUCGUAGAGCACGCAG
rnacentral:rRNA from 1 species